rnacentral:SRP_RNA from 1 species
GCCGGGCGUGGCGGCGUGCGCCUGUAGUCCCAGCUACUGGGGAGGCUGAGGCAGGACAAUUGCUUGCACCCGGGAGGUGGAGGUUGCAGUGAGCUGAGAUCGCACCACUGCACUCCAGCCUGGGUGACAGAGCGAUACUCUGUCUCAA